rnacentral:rRNA from 1 species
ACGCUGGCGGCAUGCUUUACACAUGCAAGUCGGACGGCAGCACAGAGAAGCUUGCUUCUUGGGUGGCGAGUGGCGAACGGGUGAGUAAUAUAUCGGAACGUACCGAGUAAUGGGGGAUAACUAAUCGAAAGAUUAGCUAAUACCGCAUAUUCUCUGAGGAGGAAAGCAGGGAACCUUCGGGCCUUGCGUUAUUCGAGCGGCCGAUAUCUGAUUAGCUAGUUGGUGGGGUAAAGGCCUACCAAGGCGACGAUCAGUAGCGGGUCUGAGAGGAUGAUCCGCCACACUGGGACUGAGACACGGCCCAGACUCCUACGGGAGGCAGCAGUGGGGAAUUUUGGACAAUGGGCGCAAGCCUGAUCCAGCUAUGCCGCGUGUCUGAAGAAGGCCUUCGGGUUGUAAAGGACUUUUGUCAGGGAAGAAAAGGCUGUUGCUAAUACCGACAGCUGAUGACGGUACCUGAAGAAUAAGCACCGGCUAACUACGUGCCAGCAGCCGCGGUAAUACGUAGGGUGCGAGCGUUAAUCGGAAUUACUGGGCGUAAAGCGAGCGCAGACGGUUACUUAAGCAGGAUGUGAAAUCCCCGGGCUCAACCUGGGAACUGCGUUCUGAACUGGGUGACUAGAGUGUGUCAGAGGGAGGUAGAAUUCCACGUGUAGCAGUGAAAUGCGUAGAGAUGUGGAGGAAUACCGAUGGCGAAGGCAGCCUCCUGGGAUAACACUGACGUUCAUGCUCGAAAGCGUGGGUAGCAAACAGGAUUAGAUACCCUGGUAGUCCACGCCCUAAACGAUGUCAAUUAGCUGUUGGGCAACUUGAUUGCUUAGUAGCGUAGCUAACGCGUGAAAUUGACCGCCUGGGGAGUACGGUCGCAAGAUUAAAACUCAAAGGAAUUGACGGGGACCCGCACAAGCGGUGGAUGAUGU